CGCCAGGCUAACUCUGUGCCAGCAGCCGCGGUAAUACAGAGGGUGCGAGCGUUAAUCGGAUUUACUGGGCGUAAAGCGUGCGUAGGCGGCUUUUUAAGUCGGAUGUGAAAUCCCCGAGCUUAACUUGGGAAUUGCAUUCGAUACUGGGAAGCUAGAGUAUGGGAGAGGAUGGUAGAAUUCCAGGUGUAGCGGUGAAAUGCGUAGAGAUCUGGAGGAAUACCGAUGGCGAAGGCAGCCAUCUGGCCUAAUACUGACGCUGAGGUACGAAAGCAUGGGGAGCAAACAGGAUUAGAUACCCUGGUAGUCCAUGCCGUAAACGAUGUCUACUAGCCGUUGGGGCCUUUGAGGCUUUAGUGGCGCAGCUAACGCGAUAAGUAGACCGCCUGGGGAGUACGGUCGCAAGACUAAAACUCAAAUGAAUUGACGGGGGCUCGCACAAGCGGUGGAGCA
rnacentral:rRNA from 1 species